rnacentral:pre_miRNA from 11 species
AUGUGUGUAUAUGUAUAUAUGUAUAUGUACAUGUGUGUGUGUGUAUGUAUGUAUACACACACACACACACACACACUCAUACAAACACACAACAC